UUCCAUCAUCCCCCGCCAAUGCUCCAUUACUCCAAUUGGCAGAGAGACCAGACUUAAAAUCUGCGUUAUGUAUCGG
rnacentral:tRNA from 1 species